UUUCCUUGUCUUUUUUUCUUCUUCUGUUUUCAAUCCUAGUCAUUUAAUACCAUUGAUAGACAUUACAAAUAACCAUCCCACAAUAGGAAAGUGGGAGCUAAAGGUUCAUGGUCCCACAGACUACAUGCCACAACUCCCCCAGAACACCCCACCCUCUUCCUUGUGUUCCUCUCCUUCUGACCAGAGUCCAGGAGUACAGGGAGGGGAGGAGAGAGGAGGAGAACACAGCAAGACAGCUGGAGAAGGCCGAACAGAGGAUGAAGUCUCUCGCUCUCAUGUUCUUCCCCUCAGAGUGACAUCUUGGGAGAGAAAGAGAGAGAUCAGGAGGAGAGGAGGAGCGAAUUGAGAAGGGUGGGGGCACAGGGGUUGCUUAGGGGCAGAUGGAGGUACAGCUCCCCCUUGUGGCCGUGGAAGAAGACAGCAGAGUCUGAUAGACCCAUAGCCAGACCUCCAGACCAGAGGACACCUUCACAUUCCCUGACCCAGCACACAACACCUCAGAGUGGCGAGAGGAGACCGUCAUCUGUCCUUCCAAGCUGAACCACAUGACCCAGCAGAGAGCAUCUUUGGAGUGUCCUGUCUGACUGAGAUGAACGGGCUUGGUCUGGGAUGAGACUGUCAUCCUAAUGUCUCGUCUGUGUGUGUGCCUGUGUGGGAUCAGAUGAGGCUGUGGCGUUUAGAAAAUAAAGCAGGACUCUGUGUGUCUGUCAUCGUUUCUCAUUACAAGGAACAUUCACUCCAAAAUCUAACUUUUCAAAAGGUUUCAUAACUCAUAAAGGACUCUAAAGUCGAGUCAAUUUCCACACCAUCUGUUGCGCAGAUCCUGCUGUAUGCAGAAUAAAUAUCCAGCUUUUAUUUAGGGUUUGAUAGGCCAGGGUAUGGUACGUCUGUCUCCUAAACCCCGUCGUUCAGAGACCUAAAGGAUCACACUGUGUGUGGCAUAACACUCCACGAGAGGAGUUGUCUUGCUUUCCCAGGCUUGUCAAGAGACCGCAACAAAGGCUUUCUUUGUUAACUAAUAUGAAAGGAAAAAUCAUAAAUAUGGAUGAUUGUUAAAAGUAGUCAUUACAUGAACAACUGUCUUAUAAACACUGAACUGUCUGAACUGAACUGUCCUGUAGAUCCAGACUUUGAGUGGGUUGUGCUGAAGCUUCAGAAUAGCUUCUUGUUCUGUGAGAGAUCUUUUCUGGAGGACAUCAUCAUUCAGUGUAACGGAGACUAUCAACAGGCAUGUGUGCUAGUCUAAUGACAACCCUUGUCAUUCAGUGUUUCCAACAUAUACAUGGGUAACUUCAAGGGUACCUACUCUGUCAUUAAGUAUAACAGAGAUAAUCAAUUUGACUGCUUAUUUUUUUUACGACACUUUCUUUUGUGUGAUAAGGAAAAAUCAGCUUUUUAGCCAUUAUUAGUGUAAACUGUUAGUACUCUAUCUUUGUCAUAUCUUAGUAAUAAUAAUAUUGUGAAAUAAUAAUAUUGUGAUACUAGAUAAUUUCUUCGCACAACAAUGACUCAUAUUUUCCAUUGUCUCUGACAGUGAUUUAGGAUGAUGUGCGUUUUACAAAAUAACUGUAGGUCACUGGGAUGAGUCAGCAUCUCUAUAUGCAUUUGGCUUUUAACAAGUUCAAUGUGUUGUAAUGGAAACAUCUGUCCAGGAAGAGAUGCUGUUUUCUGUUUGUCUGUAUAAAGACUAAUCCCAAUAAUAUGUUGACUAUCCAUUACAAAUGCUUCCUGACUGGAAGAAUGGACAUCAAUGGACUGUUUCCUUUAAUGUCUCCUGUUAGAUCAUGUAUUAGGUCUUUAUGAUCAGUGUGAUCUCUUGUUUUUACUGUUUCCUUUAAUGUCUCCUGUUAGAUCAUGUAUUAGGUCUUUAUGAUCAGUGUGAUCUCUUGUUUUUACUGUUUCCUUGUUUGAAUCAGUAUUGUAAUGUUUGGGUCAGCUAUCCAGGGCUGUCACGUUCUGACCUUUAUUUCCUGUGUUUUGUAUUUAGUUAGUAUGGUCAGGGCGUGAGUUGGGUGGGCAGUCUAUGUUUGAUUUUCUAUGAUUUGGGGUUUUCUAUGUUUCGGCCUAGUAUGGUUCUCAAUCAGAGGCAGGUGUCAUUAGUUGUCUCUGAUUGAGAAUCAUACUUAGGUAGCCUGGGUGUCACUGUGUGUUUGUGGGUGAUUGUUCCUGUCUUUGUGUUUGCACCAGAUGGGACUGUUUUAGGUUUUCUCACAUUUGUUGUUUUUGUUAUCUCAUGUGUAGUUUCUUUAUAAAUUAAAGAAUAUGAAUAACCACC